CUCACUAUCUGUUCCUUUUACCUGAUAAGGAGAUCGAUGUCCCACCCUUUGGAUACGAGAAAACAUCUGCCCGGUACGUGGGAUGCCCCCACGCUGUGCGCAGAUCCAAGCAGCUUCUCAUGGACACCUGCAGGCUCUGUCACCCUUCCUGGAUCCCUGAGCACUGAGGCUAGAGCCCUGAGGUUGCUUACCAGGUGGGCGGAGGGCAGACAAAACUUCAGGACCCACAACAGAUUCUUCCUUACUUUCUAGCACCACAAGAUGCUCCAGACUCAUCUUGUAUUUUCCCUGCUCCACCAGGCUCAGCAGCUUCUCCAGGGAUCUCUGGUCACUCCCCCAGAGGACAAUGUCAGAGGCCAUGACCUGGAUACUGGGCCCCCCAGGACAUGACCGGCACCACAUCCCCUGGCCCUCAGCUGCUGGCUGGUCCCUGAAAACCAGAGGCCACACCCAAGCAAGUGGAAGGGGACUCUGAAGGGACCCCCAAGCGAAGAGACAUCCCAGGUACGAGAGAAGAUGAAUGACCGUCCCCAUUUCAAACGAGCCCUGCUAAUGACUGUCUAGUGCGGCCAUGGCUUCACCAACUAAACUCAGCCUGUGAAUCCCCGAUGAGCUGGGUCCUUGAUUAAUGCUAAUGGCUUUUCUCACCAGCUGUGAAAAUGCAUUUUCCAUAAUUUAGCUGUCAUUACAAUGGGCAGGAUUUAUAAAACACACGCGCACUCUACGUGCUGGGAGGACCCAGAGGCGAGCGGCCCCAGGAAGGCCGGGAGGCAGCCAGCCAUCCCAGGAAGGGCGGGUGCCACUGCCAGCCACACCUGGCGCCAGGUCACCCUGCUGCCCCGAGACCCCAUGCAGGGUCCACAGCAGAACCGAGACCUCCCCCUGGGGACCUGAGCUCUGACCAGGGCUGUGAUGGGUCAGCCCCUGCCUCUGCCAGGUGCAGGUAACAGAAGGAACAAGGGCAUCUCUUGGGGAGCUCCAAGUUCCACCUCAUCCUGCUCAUUCCACAGAAGAGGAAUUUGGGGUCCAAGGACCAGUCACCCCCUGCGACAUCAGUCACCGGCAGGGAAUUGAGCAGAGACUUACACUGGGGUGUGGGAGCCCAGAGCCUCACCCCCCUCCCCCUCCAGGGG